rnacentral:rRNA from 1 species
UACGGGGGGGCAAGUGUUAUUCCCACUAACUGGGCGUAAAGGGCUUCUAGGUAGUUAUAGCUGUUAAAGGUGAAUUCCUAGAGUUGUUAUUAGAAGGGCCUUUGAAACGUAUAACUUAGAAUUCGUUUGGGGAAUAUACUACGUUAGGCGUAGAAUUCGGUAUCGGUGAUACCUAACAGGGUUCCAGGGGCAGAGGCGGUAUUCCAAAAGAAAUUAACACUUAAGGGCAAAAGCAUGGGGAGCAAACGGG